UGGAGAGUUUGAUCCUGGCUCAGGACGAACGCUGGCGGCGUGCUUAACACAUGCAAGUCGAACGGAAAGGCCCUUUCGGGGGUGCUCGAGUGGCGAACGGGUGAGUAACACGUGGGUGAUCUGCCCUGCACUUUGGGAUAAGCCUGGGAAACUGGGUCUAAUACCGAAUAGUCCCUGCUGGUCGCAUGGCCUGGUGGGGGAAAGCUUUUGCGGUGUGGGAUGGGCCCGCGGCCUAUCAGCUUGUUGGUGGGGUGAUGGCCUACCAAGGCGACGACGGGUAGCCGGCCUGAGAGGGUGUCCGGCCACACUGGGACUGAGAUACGGCCCAGACUCCUACGGGAGGCAGCAGUGGGGAAUAUUGCACAAUGGGCGCAAGCCUGAUGCAGCGACGCCGCGUGGGGGAUGACGGCCUUCGGGUUGUAAACCUCUUUCAGUACCGACGAAGCGUAAGUGACGGUAGGUACAGAAGAAGCACCGGCCAACUACGUGCCAGCAGCCGCGGUA
rnacentral:rRNA from 1 species